UACGUAGGGUGCGAGCGUUAAUCGGAAUUACUGGGCGUAAAGCGUGCGCAGGCGGUGAGCUGUGUCCGAUGUGAAAGCCCCGGGCUUAACCUGGGAAUGGCAUUGGAAACUGGCUCGCUGGAGUGUGGCAGAGGGGGGUGGAAUUCCGCGUGUAGCAGUGAAAUGCGUAGAGAUGCGGAGGAACACCGAUGGCGAAGGCAGCCCCCUGGGCCUUACCUGACGCUGAGGAGCGAAAGCAUGGGGAGCAAACAGG
rnacentral:rRNA from 1 species